UACGAAGGGGGCUAGCGUUGCUCGGAAUCACUGGGCGUAAAGGGUGCGUAGGCGGGUCUUUAAGUCAGAGGUGAAAUCCUGGAGCUCAACUCCAGAACUGCCUUUGAUACUGAGGAUCUUGAGUUCGGGAGAGGUGAGUGGAACUGCGAGUGUAGAGGUGAAAUUCGUAGAUAUUCGCAAGAACACCAGUGGCGAAGGCGGCUCACUGGCCCGAUACUGACGCUGAGGAGCGAAAGCAUGGGUAGCGAACAGG
rnacentral:rRNA from 1 species